rnacentral:rRNA from 1 species
UACGUAGGUGGCAAGCGUUGUCCGGAUUUACUGGGCGUAAAGAGCGCGCAGGCGGUCGUUCAAGUCGAGUGUGAAAGCCCCCGGCUCAACUGGGGAGGGUCACUCGAUACUGAUCGACUCGAAGGCAGAAGAGGGAAGCGGAAUUCCCGGUGUAGUGGUGAAAUGCACAGAUAUCGGGAGGAACACCGGUGGCGAAGGCGGUUCUCUGGGCCUUAUCUGACGCUGAGGAGCGAAAGCGUGGGGAGCGAACAGG